UGUGGCUGGCCUGCUUCUGUGGUUCGAGCCCCCAGUCUGUGGCACUCUGUUGGGGCAGCCCAAGCAAGCGAGCCCUCCAGACUGGGGACGGGGACCUGGGGUUUCCAGCGGCACUUUCCGGGGUGUGUGUCACCAGGCCCCCCUUUCUGAACGCACAAAGUUCCAGUGACCAUUGAGGAAACCGAGUCUUCGAGAUGGGAAGAGAUCUGCUCACAAUACCCACAGCUGCACCGUGAGGGCCUCUCCCACCCGGCAGAUGGAAGGACUGAACCGCAGGGUCACUUGGGGCCUGGCACAGAGGGAGGGGCCGCCGGGCCACUGCCAGGGACUUAGACACCCCAGGCCAUGGUCUCAGGUGACAGCAGUGAGACACUUGCCCGAGGCCCCGUCUGCCGAGCGAGGCUGGCACGCAGGCUCCACCGGGAUGAAUGCCCCAGGCCCUUCAUUGGUGUUCUAAUGACAGAAUACAGAGCGCGUUAUCAACAAC